UACGGAGGGUGCGAGCGUUAUCCGGAAUUACUGGGUUUAAAGGGUGCGUAGGCGGCGCGGUAAGUCGGGUGUGAAAUUUCGGAGCUUAACUCCGAAACUGCAUUCGAUACUGCGGUGCUUGAGGACUGGAGAGGAGACUGGAAUUCAUGGUGUAGCAGUGAAAUGCGUAGAGAUCAUGAGGAACACCGGUGGCGAAGGCGGCUUCCUGGACCGACACUGACGCUGAGGCGCGAAAGCUAGGGGAGCAAACGGG
rnacentral:rRNA from 1 species